UACGUAGGGUGCGAGCGUUAAUCGGAAUUACUGGGCGUAAGGCGUGCGCAGGCGGUUUUGUAAGCCAGAUGUGAAAUCCCCGGGCUUAACCUGGGAAUGGCAUUUGGGACUGCAAGGCUUGAGUGCGGCAGAGGAGACUAGAAUUCCUGGUGUAGCAGUGAAAUGCGUAGAUAUCAGGAGGAAUACCGAUGGCGAAGGCAGGUCUCUGGGCUGACACUGACGCUCAUGCACGAAAGCGUGGGGAGCAAACAGG
rnacentral:rRNA from 1 species